AUUGAACGCUGGCGGCAGGCCUAACACAUGCAAGUCGAACGAGUGGCGGACGGGUGAGUAAUGUCUGGGAAACUGCCUGAUGGAGGGGGAUAACUACUGGAAACGGUAGCUAAUACCGCAUACCCUCGAAUAUGCCCAGAUGGGAUUGGAUAGUAGGUGGGGUAAAGGCUCACCUAGGCGACGAUCCCUAGCUGGUCUGAGAGGAUGACGGGCCACACUGGAACUGGGACACGCUCAGGACUCCGACGGAGGGCAGCAGUGGGGAAUAUUGCACAAUGGGGGCAGGCCUGAUGCAGCCAUGCCGCGGGUAUGAGGAGGGCCUUCGGGUUGUAAAGUACUUUCAGAGGGGAGGCGUUACCCUCAGAGGAAGCACCGGCUAACUCCGUGCCAGCAGCCGCGGUAAUUC
rnacentral:rRNA from 1 species